rnacentral:ribozyme from 1 species
UGCCCAGCAACUCCUAUCCCUACCUCCACGCGGUACCGGCCGGAAACUAUGAGCAACCUUAGGGAAGAUCGGGUAACCAACCCUGGUGGGAGCUUUGGUCGUAGGCUGACAGGGAAGG